UCGCAAUUGGCGGGCGGUCUACACAUGCAAGUCGAGCGGCAGCGGGGAAAGUAGCUUGCUACUUUUGCCGGCGAGCGGCGGACGGGUGAGUAAUGCCUGGGAAAUUGCCCAGUCGAGGGGGAUAACAGUUGGAAACGACUGCUAAUACCGCAUACGCCCUACGGGGGAAAGCAGGGGACCUUCCUUGCGCGAUUGGAUAUGCCCAGGUGGGAUUAGCUAGUUGGUGAGGUAAUGGCUCACCAAGGCGACGAUCCCUAGCUGGUCUGAGAGGAUGAUCAGCCACACUGGAACUGAGACACGGUCCAGACUCCUACGGGAGGCAGCAGUGGGGAAUAUUGCAAACCCUGAUGCAGCCAUGCCGCGUGUGUGAAGAAGGCCUUCGGGUUGUAAAGCACUUUCAGCGAGGAGGAAAGGUUGAUGCCUAAUACGUAUCAACUGUGACGUUACUCGCAGAAGAAGCACCGGCUAACUCCGUG
rnacentral:rRNA from 1 species